GAUGAACGCUGGCGGCGUGCCUAACACAUGCAAGUCGAGCGAUUCUCUUCGGAGAAGAGCGGCGGACGGGUGAGUAACGCGUGGGUAACCUGCCUCAUACACAUGGAUAACAUACCGAAAGGUAUGCUAAUACAGGAUAACAUAAGAGAUUCGCAUGGAUUUCUUAUCAAAGCUCCGGCGGUAUGAGAUGGACCCGCGUCUGAUUAGCUAGUUGGUAAGGUAAUGGCUUACCAAGGCGACGAUCAGUAGCCGACCUGAGAGGGUGAUCGGCCACAUUGGAACUGAGACACGGUCCAAACUCCUACGGGAGGCAGCAGUGGGGAAUAUUGCACAAUGGGCGAAAGCCUGAUGCAGCAACGCCGCGUGAGCGAUGAAGGCCUUCGGGUCGUAAAGCUCUGUCCUCAAGGAAGAUAAUGACGGUACUUGAGGAGGAAGCCCCGGCUAACUACGUGCCAGCAGCCGCGGUAAUACGUAGGGGGCUAGCGUUAUCCGGAAUUACUGGGCGUAAAGGGUGCGUAGGUGGUUUCUUAAGUCAGAGGUGAAAGGCUACGGCUCAACCGUAGUAAGCCUUUGAAACUGGGAAACUUGAGUGCAGGAGAGGAGAGUGGAAUUCCUAGUGUAGCGGUGAAAUGCGUAGAUAUUAGGAGGAACACCAGUUGCGAAGGCGGCUCUCUGGACUGUAACUGACACUGAGGCACGAAAGCGUGGGGAGCAAACAGGAUUAGAUACCCUGGUAGUCCACGCCGUAAACGAUGAGUACUAGCUGUCGGAGGUUACCCCCUUCGGUGGCGCAGCUAACGCAUUAAGUACUCCGCCUGGGAAGUACGCUCGCAAGAGUG
rnacentral:rRNA from 1 species